UACGCAGGUGGCAAGCGUUGUCCGGAUUUACUGGGUGUAAAGGGCGUGUAGGCGGGAGAUUAAGUCAGAUGUGAAAUUCCACGGCUCAACUGUGGCGCUGCAUCUGAAACUAAUUUUCUUGAGUGCUGGAGAGGAAAGCGGAAUUCCUAGUGUAGCGGUGAAAUGCGUAGAUAUUAGGAGGAACACCAGUGGCGAAGGCGGCUUCCUGGACAGUAACUGACGCUGAGGCGCGAAAGCGUGGGGAGCAAACAGG
rnacentral:rRNA from 1 species